rnacentral:siRNA from 1 species
CAUAGAUGUUGAAGUUGUUGGUC